rnacentral:lncRNA from 1 species
AAAGCAGCAACACGGAGCUCUUUAGCAAUGGAUGCUUGCUCGUGCUAAUUUGGCGCUAUCCUAUCUGAGCUUUUUCCCCACUACUUCUCUUUUUUCAUUUUUCCAUUUCUAUAUUCUCGUCCUCCCCGUCCCGUUCCGCCCUUCUUGACCUUGUAAGACCUUUUCUUGACCUUGUAAGACCCCCCUCCGUUCCCGCCCCGUCACUUCUCCUUCCGGCCCCGGGCUCUGAAUCGCGAGUGAGCGAUGUAGAGUACGGUCGCCUGCCUUCCCCUUUCCCACCCAACUCAUCUUCUCCUUCCUUGUCUAUCCCUCCUGAGCUA